AUGGUCGUGAUGCAUUGGAUAUUGUGGCUGUUUAUGACAACGUGGAAAUUGCUGACAUCAUCCUGAAGAGAAGACUGUCACACGGCAAUGAUGUGGAAACGACUGUUUCUAUGUCAAUGGAAGAUGUUGCAGUCGAGACUCGAUGUGUCGUGUUACACUGGGCACACAAGAACAGUAGAGUGGAUGUGAUAAGGAAGAUAGUGGAGCAGGGAACAGAAGUGAAGGACGACGUGAGAAAUAAAAUUUGUCAAUCAUUUGUAUGACUUGUUAUUGUAUUAUUGAUGCAGUUGGGACGAACUUUACUUCACUAUGCUGCUGAUCAUGGCAACUGUGAUGUGGUUGAUGUUCUCUUGAGCAACAAGGCAAAUGCUGAUGCUACAGACGAUGUAAGUGUAGCAACAUUCAAAUAUUCUAUAGAAAUAUUCUACACCAAAUGACAGCAGUACUGUACAGUUGUCACA